CCCGCUGAACUUAAGCAUAUCAAUAAGCGGAGGAAAAGAAACUAACAAGGAUUCCCCUAGUAACUGCGAGUGAAGCGGGAAGAGCUCAAAUUUAAAAUCUGGUGGUCCUUGCGGCCGCUCGAGUUGUAACCUAGAGAAGUGCUUUCCGCGCUGGACCGUGUACAAGUCUCUUGGAAAGGAGCAUCGUAGAGGGUGACAAUCCCGUCUUUGACACGGACUGCCAGGGCUUAUGUGAUGCGCUCUCAAAGAGUCGAGUUGUUUGGGAAUGCAGCUCAAAAUGGGUGGUAAAUUCCAUCUAAAGCUAAAUAUUGGCGAGAGACCGAUAGCGAACAAGUACCGUGAGGGAAAGAUGAAAAGAACUUUGAAAAGAGAGUUAAACAGUACGUGAAAUUGUUGAAAGGGAAACGAUUCAAGUCAGUCGCGUCGACCGGUAAUCAACCUUUGCGUUCGCGCUAGGCUUACUUUCUGGUUGACGGGUCAGCAUCAAUUUUGACCGUCGGACAAAGGCUUUGGGAAUGUGGCAUCUUUGGAUGUGUUAUAGCCCAUGGUCGCAUGCGAUGGUUGGGAUUGAGGAACUCGGCACGCCUGCAAAGGUCGGGGGUUAUCCCACGUUAACGUGCUUCGGAUGCUGGCGUAAUGGCUUGAACCGACCCGUCUUGAAACACGG
rnacentral:rRNA from 1 species